rnacentral:lncRNA from 1 species
UGAAACAAUGAAUUCAGUCAGCUAUCGCCAGUUCCUCAAGAGACACAUAAACCGUUGACGCUGCAAUGAGAGACAUGCAGUCGUGUUAUUUGAUGAGUAUGCCUCAAUUACUUCCUGGGUUAAGCAAAACAUUGUCCAACGUUGGCAUUAACCUACUAAUUCUCCCGAUCUAACUCCGUGUGAUUAUGAAGUUUCCAUGACGAGCAAAGAGUGAACCUAUGCCUCACGAUAUCUCACUUUAAGAAUCAGCAGAUGGAGAAAUUGUGUAUGGAAACGCAAAUGGGUGCGCAUCGUGGUCAGCAACUCUGGUGGAGGCCAAACUUUCUGUAACACUUCCUGCAAAGCGAUACGCCCUCCACCACGGAAGGUUCGCCCCGGCGACACGGAUUCAAGAAAGACAAAUCAGCGUUCGCAUCAAAGCAAGAUACGAUGUGUUUUGACGAAAAUUCCAUGAAGACUAGCCGGUCUUUGACGAUCCAUGAGACUCAGCGCUUCAUCUAACCCCGUCUUUCUCUAAGUUAGCGGGAAAUUGUCCCAUUGAGCAUAUCAAGCGUACAACACAACCUCUUAGCGAUUCUAAAAUAAUACUAUCAACUAAAUCGCCGUUGCGAUCAAAAUUUGAUGGUCGAGCAAACGUCCCAACCUAAACGAAGGGCCGUCGGAUCCUGUUGGCCAACAAUAUAAAAAACCUUGUGGCGGCAGCUUUAUUUUUGACAACACCGACCAUGGCCAUAACGGUGGCCUCAAAGCAGAUAAUAUUUCUAUCUUCCAAAAGCUUAGCUCUACUUACGACGACGCCGAACGCGGUGUGGGCAUAGACUGCGACUACGAAUCCCACACUAAGCAUUCCAGCCGUACAUAUUUUCAUGGGUUUGCCCCUCAGAUCAUAGGUAUCAUAGGCAGUUCAGGCUGAUCGAGUGAAGCGAGAAAAUCCGACGAGACAGAAUCGGGGACUGGGGAAAUUCCGCGCAGCAGAAUGGCCCUAUCCGUAGCUGCUUUUCGUGCUGUUGUUGAUUUGUCAAUAGAAAUUGCCGAGUGUGGACAUUGUGCAUCAUACUGUGAUGAAUGCUGCACACAGCAUAAACAACUAUGUUUUCAAGAUAGAUCAAUUACAACACUGACUCCUGCGGGUCUGCCAAUAGCGCUCUACGGGAUGACUAAGACAGCCUCGUCAAGCCGCAUAGGUUUCGAAAAUCAGCUGUUCCUCCAAUGGAAUGUCGACGUCGUGCAUCCCAUCACGUGUGCGCGAAGUGGUCUAGACUCAAAACCUUUGCCCUGUGCCGGAAAUCAGCCAUCUGAGACAGCGCUUGACGGAAGUGCCAG